rnacentral:tRNA from 1 species
UGGCCCGGGUCGCCGGGGUGCGGCGGCUGCAGGUUGCGCAUGCAGGCGUAGCCCUGCGGGACGGCGCCGUCGCCGUCCUCGUCGGCGGCGGGCCGG